rnacentral:rRNA from 1 species
ACCUACGGGACGCAGCAGUAGGGAAUUUUCGUCAAUGGGCGCAAGCCUGAACGAGCAAUGCCGCGUGAACGAGGAAGGUCUUCGGAUCGUAAAGUUCUGUUGAAGGGGAAAAAGAGCGGAGAGAGGAAAUGGUCUCCGAUUGAUAUUACCCUUCGAGGAAGUCACGGCUAACUACGUGCCAGCAGCCGCGGUAAUACGUAGGUGGCGAGCGUUAUCCGGAAUGAUUGGGCGUAAAGGGUGCGUAGGCGGCCUGCUAAGUCUGGAGUGAAAGCCCGUGGCUCAACCGCGGAACUGCUUUGGAAACU